rnacentral:rRNA from 1 species
UACGACGGGGGCUAGCGUUGUUCGGAAUUACUGGGCGUAAAGCGUGCGCAGGCGGCUUCUCAAGUCAGGGGUGAAAGCCCAGAGCUCAACUCUGGAAUUGCCUUUGAGACUGAGUGGCUUGAGUACGAGAGAGGUGAGUGGAAUUCCCAGUGUAGAGGUGAAAUUCGUAGAUAUUGGGAAGAACACCGGUGGCGAAGGCGGCUCACUGGCGCGUAACUGACGCUCAUGCACGACAGCGUGGGGAUCAAACAGG